rnacentral:rRNA from 1 species
CACGUUAUGGUGGGCACUCUAAGGAGACUGCCGGUGACAAACCGGAGGAAGGUGGGGAUGACGUCAAGUCAUCAUGGCCCUUACGGCCUGGGCGUACACACGUGCUACAAUGGUCGGUACAAAGGGUUGCCAAGCCGCGAGGUGGAGCUAAUCCCAUAAAACCGAUCGUAGUCCGGAUCGCAGUCUGCAACUCGACUGCGUGAAGUCGGAAUCGCUAGUAAUCGUGAAUCAGAAUGUCACGGUGAAUGCGUUCCCGGGCCUU